rnacentral:rRNA from 1 species
CCUACGGGGGACUGCAGUGAGGAAUAUUGGUCAAUGGACGAGAGUCUGAACCAGCCAAGUAGCGUGAAGGAUGACUGCCCUAUGGGUUGUAAACUUCUUUUAUAUGGGAAUAAAACGUUCCACGUGUGGGAUUUUGUAUGUACCAUAUGAAUAAGGAUCGGCUAACUCCGUGCCAGCAGCCGCGGUAAUACGGAGGAUCCGAGCGUUAUCCGGAUUUAUUGGGUUUAAAGGGAGCGUAGGUGGAUUGUUAAGUCAGUUGUGAAAGUUUGCGGCUAAACCGUAAAAUUGCAGUUGAAACUGGCAGUCUUGAGUACAGUAGAGGUGGGCGGAAUUCGUGGUGUAGCGGUGAAAUGCUUAGAUAUCACGAAGAACUCCGAUUGCGAAGGCAGUUCACUGGACUGCAACUGACACUGAGGCUCGAAAGUGUGGGUAUCAAACAGGAUUAGAUACCCGAGUAGUC